rnacentral:rRNA from 1 species
AAGUCGUAACAAGGUCUCCGUUGGUGAACCAGCGGAGGGAUCAUUACUGGAAUCGCAAGAUCCCACAACCCUGUGAACCUACCGAAACGUUGCCUCGGCGGGUGCCCGGCCCUGCGCCGGGCACGAAGCCCGCCGGUGGCCCCCUACUCUGUCUCUGCAGCGUGGCAUCUCCGAGUAUAUACAAAACAAGUCAAAACUUUUAACAACGGAUCUCUUGGCUCUAGCAUCGAUGAAGAACGCAGCGAAAUGCGAUAAGUAAUGCGAAUUGCAGAAUUCAGUGAAUCAUCGAGUCUUUGAACGCACAUUGCGCCCGCCAGUAUCCUGGCGGGCAUGCCUGUUCGAGCGUCAUUUCCACCCUCGGGCCCUGCCUGGUGUUGGGGGCCUGCGCACGCAGCCCCUGAAAGACAGCGGCGGUCCCGAUCUCAGGUCCCGAGCGUAGUACUAUACGUCGCCCCGGGCGCUGGCGGGCUCCGGCCGUAAGCCUCUUUUUUACAAGGUUGACCUCGGAUCAGGUAGGAAUACCCGCCGAACUUAAGCAUAUCAAUAAGCGGAGGAAAAGAAACCAACAGGGAUUGCCUCAGUAACGGCGAGUGAAGCGGCAACAGCUCAAAUUUGAAAUCUGGCCCCAGGCCCGAGUUGUAAUUUGCAGAGGAUGCUUCAGGUGCGGUGCCUUCCAAGUCCCCUGGAACGGGGCGCCACGGAGGGUGAGAGCCCCGUAUGGUCGGACACCAAGCCUAUGUGAAGCUCCUUCGACGAGUCGAGUAGUUUGGGAAUGCUGCUCAAAAUGGGAGGUAGACCCCUUCUAAAGCUAAAUACCGGCUAGAGACCGAUAGCGCACAAGUAGAGUGAUCGAAAGAUGAAAAGAACUUUGAAAGGAGGGUUAAACAGCACGUGAAAUUGUUAAAAGGGAAGCGCUUGUGACCAGACUUGCGCCGGGGCGAUCAUCUAGCGUUCUCGCUGGUGCACUCGUCCCGGCCCAGGCCAGCGUCGGUUCGGGAGGGGGGACAAAAGCUUGGGGAUGUGGCUCCCUCGGGAGUGUUAUANNCAAGUGUAUGCCCCCGCCCGGACCGAGGUUCGCGCUCUGCAAGGACGCUGGCGUAAUGGUCACCAGCGGCC